rnacentral:lncRNA from 1 species
GAGCUCAAGUCGAUUGAUGUGGGUUCAUAGAAAUUGUAAUUGGUAACUUGGUGCAAUCAUAUUAUAAGUGAAUAGUGUAGUGCACCCUUUUAAAAAAAAUAGAAAAAAUAACAUAUAUGAAUUUAUCUAUACUCUUUUUAAUUGUUUUAUAAACCAUUUUUUUUAACACACAAUAAACUAAUCGCUCACCUCCUUUGGCUUACCCUUCUUCAUUGCUCUGACUUCCCUCCAAGUGAGUUAUCGGCAUAACCAACCGCUUAGUUGCAAUCUUCCUCAACCUCUCUCACGUUUAAGCCUCAACAUCUCCUCCUUAUCAUGCUCACUUAAGCCGAUAAUAAUGUUCCUGGCUUUGAAAAUAUGAAGUGUGUAAUGCUUGUACUUCUCUAUUUGAGAUAUAAUAUACAACUAGAAGUAUGGGUCCAGAUAUUAAUGAAACAUGGUCAUUCCAGUUGCGAGAUGAUGCGGACACAUCUCAAUACAGUAUGACCAACUGCUUAGUUGCAAUCUUCCUCAGCCUCACUUCACGUUUAAGCCUCAACAUCUCCUCCUUAUCAUGCUC